ACUUGACCUUUAAACCAGUCCCAUUUGGGUUGGCGUACAAUUUCUAUUAGGUUUAGUGAAAUUAUGAAAAUAGCUCCUGGGUUACCACCAUAACCUAUUUAGAAAGAUGGAGGAGCAGCCUGCCGGCCCUCUCUUCUCCCUGCUUCUUUCCCUUCCUCCUUUCUCCCUCUGUCCCUCCUUCCCUCUCUCUCUCCCUCCCCCACUCCUCCCUUCCUCCCUUCCUCCUUUCCUUCCUUGCUUCCUUCCAUCCUCCCUUCCCUUUCCCUCCCUCUUUCUCUCAAGCACCAUCCCUUUAAGCACACAUUUAAUUGGACAUUCAUUCCAUUAAUCAUUUUUGGCUCCACCCAUUUGUUCAACAAAUCUUUGCUGGGUGGAUGCUCCCUGCCCGGCCCGUGGUAAGGUCCUGCUCUUAGAGGAUGCUGCCAGGUCCUGGGAAUGUGGGACUUCCUGGGUUCCCUCAAGAAGCCAAGGUCUGACACAGGAAGCACAGGGCUCAGGAGGACACAGGGAGGGGGCAGCAAUGCCGGCUGUGUCCCCUCUGGGAUGCUCGUGUGUGAAAGGCGGGAUGUGGCCCUGAACACUGUGCAGCUCCCCCACCCCCGGAGGGCCCCCAGUGUUCACAGGCGGCUCAAGAGGAUGAAGGGUGAGGAAGAACCUCCCUGAACUAUGAGGAAGAGCAGGCCAGGGUGCUCCUGUCACAGAGCAGAGCCAAGCCUGGUCAGGGCGCAGUUCCCACUCCAGGACGGCCCCUCCAGGGCUGCCCCUGGACUUCAUGAGUUCACAGGCCAGAGGUAAAAAUAGAGUCUACACAGGCGACGGGAUGCUCCUGGGAACUUGCAGCCAGCCCAGCCCUCCCUCCAGGAUUCAGGCAGCAACAGCUUCCCCAGAGUCGGUUCGGGCUCAGCCACCAGCCCAGCAUUUUCCUGGUGCCAAGGUCAGCUCCUCGGCAGGCCCUGAACUUGUGGUUUGGAGAAAUAAAUGACAUGCUGAUUACUUAAUCCUAAAACAACAGGAAUUUUCUCUUUUUUAAGGGGCAAUGACAGGAAGCUGGCAACGUUGCAGAACCAGCCACAAGCAUCUCGGGCUAUGUUCCGGGGGACAGAGCGGGGUGGGGACUGUGCUGCAGAACUGAACCAGGGUUUAGGGCUGGCCUCUCCCUGCACCUUAUGGCAUCUGUGUCUGGAGGCUCUUCUCCAUGCCGAGAAUGCAGCUCUGCGCCGUCCACUCGGCUUGUCCCUCCUCCCAGCUCUCCUGGCCUCCUUGUGUCCUGGCGGCACUGGAGCCCUGGGGAUGGGCUGCAACUUCGGAAGGAAAUUCCCUUGGUGGGCUGCUUCCCUGGUCUCCAGACCUCAGCAAGCCAGGUCAUUUGGACUUGACUUCAGGCUCCAAAAAAGUUAAUGGUUCACGAAGGGAAAGCACCAAAUAGCCGUGGCCGCGAGCCACCGAGUGUACCCGGAGGCGCAGAGACCAUUGCCACUAAACUUUGGUUCUGUCAAUCAUUUGGGCCUUCUCUCAUUGGAUAAUGAUACCCCACACACCCACAAACCCUGGGCCAAAUCCUGUGUGUGCCCCUGGGGACAGAGGGCUGAGCAGCAAGUGUGGCCCUCGUGGAGCUCAGGGUUACAUGGAAGAUGCAGGCUUAGGAAGUAACCAGGCAGCCCCAGGAGGAACGGCAGCUUCGAAUAAACGAAAGCCAGGACUGAGAGGACAUGUGACAGCAGGCCUCUCAAGCACUUCAGCCGCCCCCAGAGGGUGGGACGGGGACCCCCAAAAUGUUCCCCGUCUUAACCCGCAGAACCUGUAAACGGAAACUCGCUUAAGACUAGGGUCUUCGCAGAUGUGAUUCAACUAAGGAUCUCAAGAUGAGACCAUCCCGAUUUAGGGUGGGCCCUAAAUCCAAUGGCUAGUGUCCUUAUAAGAGAUAGGGGAGGGACACUUAAGCCCCAGAAACCCAGAGAAGAAGGCCAUGCAGAGUGGAGGCAGAGGCUGGGGUGAGGCGUCUGCAAGCCAGGAAACACCUGGAGCCACCAGUGACCGAGAGACAAAGAGGGACUCUGCCCUCAAGCCCUCAGGGGGAGCAUGGCCCUGCCCACACCUUGACCUUGGAUUCCUGUCAUCCAGAAGUGUGAGAAAGUAAAUUUUUAUUGUUUAAGCCCCCAGUUUGUGGUCAUUUGUCCCAGCAGCCCCAGGAGACCCAUACAACGACCUAAAGAAGAAAAUCCGUCUCCCAUGCCAGCCCGUGUGAGCAUGUCGUCUCUGCGAGUUUGUGCGAGUGUUGCAUUGUUGCUGGUGCUGGUCCUCACCUCCCCUUGGUCUGCGAGGAAGACACCUGCAGACACUACUUCUGAGGGUGCCUCAGAGGUGAAGUCUGGAGAAUGAGCCUCAGCCAGUUCAACCCUGUCCCCUGCCCCUCCUGGCACCUUCCCACCUGCGUGUCCUUCGGGCUUCCUAGGGCUGCCCAUCUCCCUCCCAGAACUGGCUGUAGAAUUG
rnacentral:lncRNA from 1 species